GGCUUGACUUUCUCUCUGAGGCCUGCAGAAGCAAACUGUGUUCCAGAGAAUUCCCAGUAGACACGCUGUCUAUACAAAGCCCAGUGGAGCGAUUUUUCCCGGUCUGACAGGAUGACAGCCGCAUCACCGUGGUAAUAUGCAGUGUGGUCAGCGGACAGAAUGGGCCGCUCAGCCACUGCUCCGGAGUUUAGCUGGAAGCUAACCCUUUGUUCACAGAGCUUUCUUCAAACUUCAUCGUCGCCCGGACAACUCCUCAGCAUGGUUCAUACGAGUACCUGGAGACGUUCAUUCAGGCCCAGUGGUUCUUUGAUAUCCUCAGUUAGUCGGUGGACGCCUGGACAACAGGGAGGACUCUGCACAGGUCGUCUACACAUUCCUGACCACUCUCUGACCCCAGGAUACAGCUGAGCUUUGACCCCUGAGUGACCAGCUCACUGCUCAGGGUGGCCAGGUCUUUAGACAGAUUCUGAAAAGAAAUGGACGCUUCUAAAUGCAAGUCUGUGAACAUGAUGUUGAUUGUAAAGGUGCUGUCAUGUUGUUUCCUAUGUAUGCUAUGGUACUGAAAUUGUUGUGUUAUAAGGAUUUAAACAUUAGCAAAUAAAGAGG